rnacentral:lncRNA from 13 species
CCGUGCUGGCUGAAAUGAUGGGCUCCGUGCUGGCUGAAAUGAUGGGCUUCGUGUUGGCUGAAAUGAUGGGCUCCGUGCUGGCUGAAAUGAUGGGCUCCGUGCUGGCUGAAAUGAUGGGCGCCGUGCUGGCUGAAAUGACCACGAUGUUGUUGCCCAGUUGGAGGGUUGUUAGGUGAGAAUGAAGCAGAUUGGAAACUCAAGGCCCGAGCCAGAAUCCCAUUAAGAUGUUCUGUCUGAAAUGGUGUCUGGACCGCAGCCCACCGGAGAUGGAGAAUGAGUUCCUUUACGCUGUCGAUAAGUCGUCCUCAAGCUGGAACAGAUGGCUUUUUGUGUGAGUGAGCAGCGAGGGUUGUCACUUAUGUGUGUUUGGGUGGGAUACAUGAGGAUAGUGCUUCUUGUGUGUUUGGGUGGGAUACUUGAGGAUAGUGUUUCUGUGUGUUUGGGUGGGAUACAUGAGGAUAGUGCUUCUGAAUGCUAGAAGUCCGUUCAGUUUGUAAUGUACCCUUUUGGCAAAAUCCGUCUUGGUGGAUUUAUCUAUGCAGAGUCACCUUGCAGUCAACACACAGAAGAGCCACAGCUAUAACUUCCUGUGGUUAACUAAAGCAGUGAUGUGGAUACUAAAAGGAGUCUCCCUGGGUUCUCUGCUGUGCAGCUGGCGCGUAUGGAGGAGGAGCUGAUAGACCGUCUUCGCAGGGAGGUGGCGAGACAGAGAGAGCUGAACGUUCUGCGACAGGAGGACAACAGGCUACGCUGGAGGACACUGUGCUUCCUCCAGCUCAACCAGCGCCUCAAAAAAGAGAAACAUGAAGCGAGGGAGACGAUUCUUCGGUGGCAACAGUCGCAGAAAGAGCACCCGCCCAACACGGCAACAGCUACAGGAGAUUCCUUUGGAGGUUGAGGCAGGGUCAGAGGGUAAAGGCUGUAUACCCAGCAUCCUCGAUUUUAGAGUACACAGCCAUCUUGGAUCUGCGAGGAGAAGAGAAAUUAAUGCGGUGAGUUUUUUUCCCCUCUGUUUUUUCCUUUAAAAAUAUCCACGAUGCUCCACAGGGAAGCGUUGCAUGUCAAACCGGUAUUAUUUUGGCACCCAGCGACCCCGGUUUGGGGGAAAUUGGGCCAGUGGUCGAGGUGUAAUCCGACCUUUGGCGUUAUCGUUUUUGUCUGUACAAAUUGAGAGCGACAGAGAACCAAGACAUUGCAGGCCCAGUCCGCACAGCAGCCCUCACCCUCUGCUGUAGUCAAAUAGUUAUCCCAAGGUUUGAACAUUGAGUCCUACUGAUGUCUUACAAGCCAGCUGAUUUCUCCUGUUUUUAUGGAGGGCAUUUUCAUUACAGGUGUAGAUGGCUAAGUAACAGUUUUCAAUGAGCUAUUCAAGUCAAACCAACUAGCGCGUAUUUUGGUUAGCUUGUUAGCCUGCUAUGUUAUCUCUGCUUAGCGAGCAGCUAACCUUUACAAUGUUCACUGUUCAAACAUCCACACAUAUCUGGCCUAUACAUGUAGUUAUUGUCGCUUAUCGUGAUGUUUUGGUUGUGUUCAGCUAACGGUACCUCGUAUGAUUUUUUAUGUCUAAUUUAGUUCCAGUGUUUCUAGUUAGCCGACUUUUGCUAAUCCAUAUAACUUAACAACCGAAGUGUAUAUUCAUCCAACUUUAUCUAACCAGUGAAUUCACUACUUCUUCCUAGUUGUCCAGUUCGAGGGGAAUGUAAAUCAAACGUCAGCCUAAACUCAUCGUGGUCCAUUGAAUGUUUGCCAGUUACACCUGACUAGUUGCAUGAGUUGAUAGCCAUAGUAGCCUGCUGGUACUUUGACACAGUAGCUAUUUAAGGCAACUUCCAAGCCACGUCGUUAGCUACUCAACACACACAAUACCUACACGAUAAUAUCAUGAUUUCCCCCAUCCCGUCAGUUCAUCCAGUAGUCUCUACGAUCUGAGUACAAAACAUUAGCCUAUGCUGUUCUUGGUCUGAAGAGAGAUGAGUAGCUACACAUCCUGUGGUAUUACAUGACCGUGUAGCUAAAGGACAAAGACUCAUGACUCUCUGUUACAAGAUCUACCAGCUAUUUAUCUGCAUUGACACUCAGGGAAAGGUUUUGGUUGCAGGUGGUGAUUUGGAGGUCUUGACUGAAAUGAAAUAGCUAUUGGGAAGAAUAUACCUACUCUAAAUGAGCAAACUUUUCUUCAGCCCAACUCUGUGUUUUUGUCCAGGAUGUCCAGCUGUGGAUUUAAUGCAUUUAGGCCCCAUUCUGUUUUCAUAUUCCAAUAAACACUCUGUUUGUUAUGAAUUUGGGUUGUUUGAGUCGGUCUCUAUCUGUAAUUUAGAAAACUGAAGACUGACAGCAAUCAGAAUGGUGAUUGAUGUGAAGUUGACACGGCCCCUGACCUCCGGUGACGCUCUCUGAUUUCCUCAGUGUUAAUCGGUAAUGACAAAAUAAUAAAUGUUUUUAGAUCAGGGUCGAAUUAAAUGAUUCAUGCCUAAAAGGAUUCAACAAUAUUUUUUGGGGUCUUUGUUUCUCUGAUGAACUACUGCUUCCAUCAUUGCCCCUUUGGAAGAUCGUAUUUUAUGACAGGAAUGCGUUUUGUAAAAAUAAAUUUAGUCUUUUUUUUCUUCCCUCGUUAAUCAAUUCAACCUUCUCUAAAGGAGGCUGUUUGUUUGUUGUUCUGCUUGGCCUGUCCGCUUACUGUUUAUUUUUGAUUGGCGUGAGGAGUGUGGCGUAAUCUCUUUUAAUCCAGAACAUUUGUUGUGACCCACUGCUGGGAAUAG